ACAUGUGAGAGUGAUCUGGCUGCCGUUUCACUCCUCAUUGUUGAUGUGGCUGACUUGGCUGUCUAGGCAGGUGCCUUUUUCCUCCCUCACUACCCCAUGUACAUCCAUCCUGAAGCUGCACACUUGAUAAAAGAGGACAACUAUCCCUGAUAGAAGAGGACCAUUUCCUCAGUCAAGAAUAUACAAGUAGUUGUGCUACUGCACAGUCCAGUGCAAGUGUAUAUCAGGAGGUGGAUGCAUUUGCAUGGAAAGUCUAAAGAGUCAGUGC
rnacentral:snRNA from 1 species